rnacentral:misc_RNA from 1 species
CACCCCUCAAGCUCUGCUUGGUAUUGGGCCCUCGCCCCCUGGGCGUGCCCGAAAAACAGUGGCGGUCCGGCGUGACUUCAAGCGUAGUAAAUUUUCUCCCGCUCUGGAGGCUCGCGCCGCGGUCGGCCAUCAUCCCCCAUCUUUCAAAG